AAGUCGUAACAAGGUUUCCGUAGGUGAACCUGCGGAAGGAUCAUUAAUGAAUUCGAAUCGGUCGUCUGUGCUGGUGGCAACACAUGUGCACGUUGAUCGUCAUUCCAUUCUCCUUUCAAUCGUCCAAGUGUGUGUCUGGUCGACCUCGGUCGAAGAGUUGUGGCCCUCGGGCUUGAUUCGUUCCAGAUGCACCUUGGUUAUCUCACCCACUCUGGGUAUUCGAAACAAAGAACAUUUUAUAUAAACUAUACAACUUUCAACAACGGAUCUCUUGGCUCUC
rnacentral:misc_RNA from 1 species